AUGUAUAGCGCUAAACCUAGCGAGAUUGAUCCAUUUGACACUGUCUACUCAAACAUUCCAGACAACACUCACAUCCUGAAAGUCGACGAAAAUUGCAAACACUGCAAGGCCAGAAAGUUUGAGUCUGAGACUGACGGCUUCUGCUGUCGCAAUGGCCAGAUCGAGCUUAAGCAACCGGAACCAAUCCCAGAGCUUAUGAGGCUAUGGUCCAGCAUGGAUGCAGAUUCUAGACAUUUUCGGGAGAACAUACGUUUCUUCAACGGGCAUUUCGCCUUCACAACCCUUGGGGUCAGCCUUGAUGAAAACUACACUAACAUGAAGUCUGGGGUGUACACAUUCCGAGCACACGGCACCAUCUACCACAAUGUCCAUUCGUUCGGGCCUAGCUCCCGUCCAGAACAUCUGCAGUUGUACUUCUAUGACGACGACCCUAACCUAAAUCAUCGUAAGGCGGCCACCAAGCAAUUAGACCAGGAUGUCGUGAAGAGGUUAGUAGACAUACUCAAAGAAAACCCAUACUCCCAGCAAUUUAGGAGUUUGGGUGCACACAAGGACAACCUCGAUGAUUAUAGGAUAGAUCUAAACACCGAUAAGAGGCUUGACCAAAGAAGAUAUAAUAAACCGGUGUCAUCUGAAGUCGCUGCAAUUUGGGUUGAGGGCACUGACCUAGCAAAAAGGUUUGACCGCAGGAUAACACUUUGUGGUAACAACAACGAAAGGCAUAGUAUAUGUGUGACCUCAGGGGCAUAUGACCCGUUGUCUUAUCCAUUAUUCUAUCCAAUGGGUUAG
rnacentral:rRNA from 1 species